CUCUACAAACAGAUGAAAUCCAUUAGUAUAGUUGUUUUAAAUUGUUUUUUUUUUUUAAUUAGGUUUUCAAGUAGCCCAAUAACUUAAAAGUAGGUAUGCCAAAAGAAACAUAUGCUUAUUCCUGUAGUUCUCAUUGUCAAAAUAGCAGCAGAAAAACUGUAGCAGAAAAACGCUUUUAGGUCAGAGGUUCACCAGGUAGGGUGUUUGCACUACUAUGAGCAACACCCAAGUUUGGGCCCCAGCAAUAUGGCAAGGGAGGAAUCUUUGGUGCUGUGGUGUCUCACUCCCUCCAUCUCUAUCUGAAUGAAAAAGUGGUUUGAAGUAGUGAGACUAUUCACAAGGCUUAAAAAAAAAAAAAAAAAGCUUUAUUUUACUCAUCCUGAAAAACUACCUUACUAGCAGCAGAUUUGUGUCAUUUAACCUAUUGAGAAUGUUUCAACUGGGGCAGGAGGUGGUGCACAUAGUACUAAGCACAAGGCCCCAUGCAAAGAUCUGGGCUCCAGCCCCCGGCUCCCCACCUGCAGGAGGGACAUUUUACAAGCAGCGAAUGAAGUAAGGAAAUAAGACAGAUCAAGAAAGACAAAUACCAUAUGCACUUAUUAUAUGUGAAAUAUAAAAAAACAAAAAUCAACCUUAUACAAGGUUUCUGAGUCAGGCUGGUAGAUGUCAGGGGCAGUAAGCUGUGACAGGGAUGAAGGGAUCAAAAGGUUCAGACGUCCAGGUGCAACACAAGCCGUGGAGAUGCGGUGCACAGCACAGCGACCACAGUUAACAGCAUGUCACAUGUUCCAAAGUUACUAAAAGAAUUGAGUCUUAAAAAUCCUCAUCACAAGAAAAAGAAAUGUGCUUGUAAGUUAUUAACCAGACCUAUCAUGGUAAUGAUUUUGCAAUAUACACAAAUAUCAAAUCAUUAUGUUAUAUAUCUGAGUCAAAAGUGUUGAUUGUGCCUCAAUAAAAACUUUCUUUUCUAUUUCUCUAAAUCCCCCCCCUUUCCCACAUUUUCAAGUGGCAAAUGGCUAGAUUGUUUGGAAUUCCACUCAAAGUGUCAAGUCCUGAGUUCAACCUCCAGCACCACAUGGCUGAGUGAUUCCCUGAUCAUCUUUCAUGUUAACAAAUAAAUUAAUUUUUUAAGUAAGCAAAUAUAAAUAAUAACUAAGACUCAGUGAGUAAGAAGAUAAAAUGACAGCAUAGUCAUAAUGGGCAUUGGGCAGGACAUAAGGUCUCAAUACUGGAGGGCACUGGCAACACUAGAGGAACACCAUGGAGAGCAGAGCAGCACCGUGUGCUCCCCACCCCUGCUUCUCUCUAAAAAGAAAA